rnacentral:SRP_RNA from 1 species
GGGCAGACUAGGCUGGCGCACUAGCCCUGCGUUGUUACCACAAACGGGCUUUAUGGUGGAGUUGAAAUCUUAGUGAGGCUUAGAUUAUGAUUAUUAGUCUUGUCCUGGACAUUGACGCUUUGUCCUUUGGGAUUGUUUUAUUAAAGAAUCUGGUCAGGGUGGGAACACAGCAGCCAUAAUUUAUUAAAAUGGUGCUCAGAGGGUUGCGAAGCCGAGGAAGGGAUGAGAUCAACUAAUGGUUAUGAUUUAUGUCAAUCUAAGGAUGUCUGCCC